UCCGAUAUAUCUCGUCAGCCGCAUCCAAUCAACGGAGGAUGUGGGACUUGCCGCUGUUGCCUGUGGAUACAACAGGGGGAGCUUGAAAGCGCUUGUUUACUGUGGAGAGAGGCAGUCUGACCGGAGGAGACGUGUGUAACGGACGCAUUUCCCGCAGAUGGGAUAAAAGCGAAGCGCAUGGCACCAGUUAUCCACAGCGUCGCUACAGACAAACACAAACUCCUGGUUUUGUUGUAGAUGCUCAUCGGCUGUUAAUAGAACCUUUGGGGGUUUUCCCUUUCAUGACUGGUGCGUGUCUGUCUGGUUUGCUUUAGGACAAAAGAAGGAUAACUGUCGUUUCGUCUUUGCCCACAAGCUUUUUACUGGACCGGACGCACUGGGUGAGAUGGAUAUCGAAAAGUACCUGCCACAGCUGAUGGCGGAGAAGGAUUCUCUGGACCCGUCCUUCCAACAAUCCUUGCGGCUUCUGGAUCAAGAAAUUGAAAAGAUUCAGAAAGAUGAAGACAAAGAGGAUGAGAAGUUCAUUGAUGUGGUCAUUAAUAAGAACAUGAAACUGGGCCAGAAGGUGUUGAUCCCAGUAAAACAGUUUCCCAAAUUUAAUUUUGUGGGUAAACUCCUGGGUCCCCGAGGGAACUCAUUAAAACGGCUACAAGAGGACACGCUGACCAAGAUGUCCAUCCUCGGCAAAGGAUCCAUGAGAGACAAAGAAAAGGAGGAGGAACUUCGAAAGAGUGGCGAGGCAAAGUAUCAACACCUCAAUGAAGAUCUUCACGUUCUGAUCGAGGUCUUCGCCCCACCUGCAGAAGCAUAUGCGAGAAUGGGUCACGCGCUGGAGGAGAUCAAGAAAUUCCUUAUUCCGGACUAUAACGAUGAGAUCAGACAUGCUCAACUACAGGAACUAACGUAUCUGAACGGAGCCUCGGAGGACGCGAAGGUUCCCGCUGCGAGAGGAAAAACAAGCACGCGCGCACGAGGAACGCCAGCGCCAGGCGUGCACAGGGGUAGGGGAGGGGUUCCUCCUCCUCAUGCUGCAGUUCCACGUGGGGCGGCGCCCAGAGGAGCUCCGCCCAGCAGAGUUCCGUCCAGCAGAGCCAGGGGCGUUCCCUCACAGAGAGCGAGAGGAGCUCCGCCCCCAGCAGGAUACAGACCUCCCCCUCCGGUGGUGCAGGAUACAUACAGUGAAUAUGAAUACGAUGAUGAAUACGGAACGGCUUACGAUGACCAGGGAUAUGAUUCAUAUGACAGCUACAGCAACCAGGCACAGAAUUCAGAGGAUUAUUAUGAAUACAGUCAUGGCAUGAGUGGAGAAUCAUAUGAAUCUUACGGCCCGGAGGAAUGGACAAACGGCCGUAAAAAGGCGCCACCAUCAAGGACGAGCAAAGGAGUUUACAGAGAGCAACCGUAUUCCCGGUUCUGACCUGCUACACUCCUUCCCGUGCCCCCUCAAGUUGUUGUAGCUGGGCCUGCAGUCAUGAAAUCCAGUAAAACGUCUCUGUUUGUCCCGAACAGACAAAAGCCUCUAAAGCCGGGGAGGAUAAACAGAUGAGCUGUUGAGAGAAGAGAACCGGACAGAUCAGAUCGGACCGGACCGGACACAGUGUCCUCUUGCUGUCUCUGUGUCUGAUAACUGCGGUUUAAUCCUGUUAUCUGAUCUUGAAAACUCACUGCUUGACCACCAGCGUGAAGAGCACACACUCGGCACGAAGAACACAAAAAGCCCCUUGUGGUCUACGGAGAAGAACAGCGCUCCGCAGGGAAGACUACAUUUCCACUGGAACUGUCUCAAAAAGGCUCCAGAACCUUUACAAGGUCAAGAAGUGCCACACUAAGAGCGCUAUUGUUGCAAUAACAGAUUGGUCAACCUUUCUCUCGCUCAGGAAAUGGAGUUCUCCAUUCCUCUUGGGAGAACGCUAUGAGGAAUUUGUGCUUUCCGCAGCUGGCUCGCGCUCGCUUUAUAGGUUCCUACAUGCAUUUUGCAGCAGGCUGCACUGAUGGUGAACCCACUUCUGUCUGCGCAGAGGAUUAUGGGUAAUGGGGGCAUGUGUGGUACGCUAACACAUUAAGACAGGAAUUUUUACUCUGGAGAACCACGUAGAUGAUCAUUUGGAAUAACACGGAUGUCUUCUACACUUUGAGUUUUUCUUGCAAAUCCCUGCGGACCAAAGCUUUUGUGUUUUUGUAUAGUAUGCGCAGAGCUAAAUGCAUGAAAUGUAUACAUCCUGUAAAAUCACCGACAACAGUUGUUGUGGAAUUGAUUACUAUGUUCAUGUAAAAGCAUUGGACUGUACAUUCCUGUACUGUUAUGCCAUAAACACUGGCUCAUUUUACUUCUGCUCUGGUUUCCAUUGAUCAGUCUGAAUGUUUUGGACGAUCUUCACGUUGUUCUGAAACGGAUACAGUGAGUGUGUUCACUUCUCAUCCAGUGUUACUGGUCUUAUGUGGUCUCAUAAAACAUUAAAAGGUGAAUUUGAGAAUCUGCAUACGCCAACAGCCCACAUAUCUAUAACAACCUGCAGUUAUAUUCUCAAUAAGUCAAUAUGAAGUCAAAAUUGUCCCUAUUUACUUUCCUGAAAUGAUUGAUUAUUUAAAUUAUUAAUAUUUCUUAAUAUUUUAUCUAAAUGCUCUGCCUUUAAAGGGGUUAUAUGACACGGCUAAAACGAAUAUUAUUGUUUGUUUUAGAUUUAAUGCAAUGUGUAUACACAAUUUAAGGUUCAAAAACGCUGUAUUUUCCACAUAUCGUGCAUGUUUGUAUCUCCUCUUUGCCCCGCCUCUCUGAAACGUGCAGAUUUUUGACAAAGCUCAUGGCUCUGAAAAGCGAGGUGUGCUAUGAUUGGCCAGUUAACCAGUGCGUAGUGAUUGGUGGAAUACUGCAAGCGUGUGACGGAAAUGUAACGCCUCUUACCAUAUUUUGAACAUCAGGUUCCUCUUCAAUUGUACUGACAGGUACGCCCACCUUACUUGCAUAUACAUUUGGGCGGUCUUAGUCAAAUCUUACCACGAACUGAUGUGGAUUUGUGGGUGUGUGGUUACACGAGGUGUUUCAGGCAGGUCUGGGUGAGCAUUCGCUUUUAGAUAGAAUGCAUCUUAUUUUGCAAUUUUACGUGUCUAAUACAUGCAUGGGCACCUUAUAAUACACCAAAGACACAGAAAAACACGUAUUCGCGCCAUAUGACCCCUUUAAACAACUUUAAUUUAUUAUUAUUUGUUACUUUUUCCUGUCAGUUAACAAAAAUGAGGCAAAUCUUCCCAGAUAUAAAUACAUUUCUGUCCCUUUAAAAUGGUGGCUGACACUAAUGUAAAACUCAUUUUUUGUACCCUUCAUAAUAACAUAAUAUAUAUUUUUAUAAAAAAUAUAAAUCCAGCUCUUUAACUCAAUAGAUUUCAUCACUCGACCCUUUUAUUUCACUCUCGUUUUCACCUUUAUUAAACCUCUGUGAUCACAUGUAAAAGUUCCUGUGUGUUCCUAAGCCGUUGUGAUUUACAAAGAUCAAUAAGAUCUUUGGUCGAGUCUUUGAAGUUGAUGUCCUGACAGAUAGCUGUUUGAACAGGUAUUAAGCCCAACACUGUGGCGCAUAUGCAAAUUCACCCAGCGGCAGGUCUUCUGUGUCAGUCAGAGGUCAGUUUCAGGCCUGAGUCAUGGUCUCGUCCGUAAUAGAACUGGUUUUAGUCACUGCAAAAUUUGCCCUCUGCUUGGUAUUGCCUAAGCACACAAAGAAAAGGUGUGACAAGGGCUGAAACAAUUAUGAAAAUUGGACUUAAUUGCAUAUAAAUGAUUUUGAUUAUUUGCAUAAUGUCGGUAAGUUUUCUAUCUGACUGUGUCCAGUUGGGGUGGAGGGUGCUUAAUUGCCAUGUAAAUGUCACAAUGACAACAUUUUUAUUUUUAUUAAAGCGGCCGUGCAAUGGUGUUUCAUGCAUUCAGAGUUAUUUACUCAUGCUUAAAGCGGCAACGAGUAAUUUUUGCUUACUGUUGCCCCACGUGGUUGAUAAGCGGAAUUGUCUGUAUGCAGUGUUGUAAAAACUGUCGCAAAGAUUUCCCGCUGACAGCUCAAUACACGUGAGUUUGUUUACUAGGCCGACGGACCCAGAUACGUCAUUCAAACUAUGUCCACCGAUCAGGUAAAGUAGUCCGUGUUACCAUAUGUUCUUCGUAUAUCAGUACAAAGAUUUAUUUAUCGUUUCUCCAUAAUUAUAAACUGUAAUGUCAACAAAGAACGGUAAGUAAACCUAGUUGUUUUUGCUUGCAUAGUUGGUCUCGUGUAUGUAUCUCGCGUAUGUAACUUAGCAUUGUUUGCAAAGGGUGUCAUUUGUAUAAUAUAAUGAAAUAUUGUCCACAAAAUCAUGUAUCAUGCAACAAUGUCCAUAGUAGCUUAUACAGCAUACAUUGUCAUAAGUUUAUAAGGUUGUAUCAUAGCAUAGCAUACCACACGGGUGCCAACACUAUGGGCUGUACUACAGGGCUAUACUACAACCUCAAAGUAGACUCAGGGGUAGCAGCUGAUUGUUAUAAGUUAGCACAGAGCGUGCUAGCUACAUGGAACAUUUGUAUUUACCCGAAACACAACGCAUGGUCUUGAAUGUGUUUUGUAACCUAUAGUACUUUUCUUUUGUUAUUAUAUCGGAAGUCACUAAACACAAUCGCGACCAGGCGUUGUGUUUUGUGUAAUAUAUGUAAUAUCUAGUCAACUCGGUAUGAAAACAGCGCAUAGCAUGUAUAUAUAUAAUGACAACAUUAGCCUAAUCAACGACUGAACUGUUCAACAUUCACGUGGUUUACUGGUCUGAACAAAAUAAUCUGUUACUUUUUACCACAACACGUUUAGUGUGGUUGUUUAGUCUUUAUUUACAAGCACUACACACAUUCAUGACGAGACACGACAACAUACUAGCUAUCGACACCGGCAAUCAUAUAUUAUCUCUCAGCUACCUUACGCUUAUAAAGUGUGAACCGGUGGUGCGCCAAUGACACAGACUAAUAACAAAUACGUUCAAAAGUACAGGACAGUAACAAAAAAUGUACAAAUAACACUUACAAAUCCAGGAGCAGGACCGCUAGGUCUCCAUCUGUUUUGCAACCCGUUGCCUCUUGCUGCUCACGCCUCCGAGUGUAAGCCCGUCCGAUAUUGAUUCGUGACCGGCCUCGUGUCCGAUCACUCUCUCGCUUUCUUUGCUUCCUCCAACAAAACCCUCUUUGGUUUUUUGGCUGGCUCUGCCAUGGUAAUGUUUUGGUUCGUUUCGUCUUACUGUUAGCUCUGCUGUUGACUAACUUCUCCCAGGCUACGACUAAAACUGCCGUAAAGCAGGGGAUAGGCGGGGCUUUUACCGGCCCGAAUACCAAAAUUACAAGUGCAGUUUCAGCCUAUAGGAGGCUGCUCAGGUAGCAACGGCAGUAAAAUUUGUCCAGUUAAAAGUUGACCUACCACUAAAAUAAUUUUAGAGACAUUAUUUUAAGGUCAAAAAGUUGCUCGUUGUUGCUUUAACAUGGUCAACUUGUCAAAAAACGAGUUAGACGUAUGGCGUAGUAUUUCUGUGCUCGAUACACUCAGCGUUCGUACAGGUUUCGGAAAGUUUUUUUCGAACAUAAAAAUUUGUUUCGUAGCAACUUCUUAGUCCCUUAUUGGACAAUUCUCCUGGAAAAGCACGCGGCACGCUUCAACCAAGGACAGCGGGAGAAGGAGCAUGCGCACAAGUCACUUUCACUUGCGUGCAGGAGACAGUGAGAGCACUACGUUUGCGAAGUUCAGCUGUAUUUGUUUGUUCGCUGCAUUUGGGUGAUGAAUGUUAUAUAAACGGUGGAUAUAACGCUGGAUUUGGAGAUCGUUUGAAUCUGAUAGAUGGAACGGCGGUCCCAGCGAUAAAAGAUGCCGGACAUGAACCGCAAGUGAAACUGUUGUCCCUCCCACACGCAUCGUAUGUUUUCGGAAAUAAUCGUACAGCUGUAUCUGUCUUUUAUAAAUGUGAUCAAACUAAAGACUACAGAUAUUUGAAGGGUGUGAUACUAUCCUGUAAGUACUCAAGAUUAACAUGAGAUAUGCAGAAACUGUCUGAGAUACGGCCGCUUUAAGUCUUCUUUAUGCAAAAUAUAAUUCCUUUAUAUUAUAAAUAUUUUAUAUAUAAUAUUUGCUUGAACGUUGAGGCACAAGUUGUUUGAGAUCUUGUUUUUUGAACGUUCAGCACCACGGACAGCGACCAUUGACAGCUCUUCUGUUCACUGAUUGGCUAAAACAGUCAAAUGCACUUUGGGUUUGAACAUUUUAAAUGUGGCUCAUAUCUCUUCUAAGUCUGACUUUUAUGUUGAAUAAGUGUUUAACUGUAAUUUACAGCUAUAUAACAAAACUUACAUGCGUGGAGGUUAGUUGGCCUCGAAGGUGACAAAUAAUUUACAAUGAUUUUUACCUGUCAGUGGUUCAAUAAUAUGCCAUCAGGUUCAUACUUUUCAACAUGUUUAAUAAUGUAUCUUGUUCUCUGCCUCUUCUGUCUGUGCUGAUAGUUAUUUUUCUUUGAGAAAUAUAAAUGCUUUUGUAGUAGUUUACCAGUGUCUGUGUUUUAAAUUACUUUCUGUAGAAAUUCAUGAAUAUCCCUGUGUGCUUAUAUUAUUCUCUAUUUUAACAUCUUGUCUUCUCUCAUUCUCAUGAUGAAACUGAAGUUAGAAGUAUUACUUCCAAUGUUUAAAGAUUAUGAGCAGAUUAUGUGGAACUGAGUGCCUUUGUUGUGAGUCACUAUUCAUUUAUUAGAAUGCAUGCCAUUUAUACUGA